UGUAGUCUGGUGUGAAGUGACAGUUUGUACCGAGGUUAUCGCACUUUUACGCGGCGUUUAUUUCCUCUUAAAUAGCCUCGCGACGUGACCGUUAUGACACUUGUGUGGCGUUCAGGAACAUAUAUCGCAAGGGUUAAAGGAGUUGAGUCCGGGAAAUUACGCUAGAGUCGACCGGACUGAAGAAACCUCUUUAAUGAGAGUACAGUUGUCUAUGACAGAACAGAGUGAAUCAGCCAGCUUCCGCCCCUCGUCCUGUUAAUCUCAAUAAGCUUGACUAUGCCCUGGCCAGUGAUGAGAAGUGAUGCAUAAUAUAUACAUUUUUUUCAGGUCUCUUUUUGGACUUGAAAGCAGCAUGGCAUGGGAGGAGCUGCAGGACUGUGACUUAACGUGCUGUUCAAGUUUAAAAGAAUAGGGACAAAGCUGGUGGAAGUCCACUUUAUACUAUAGAACGCCUUCAGGAAAUGUUAUCAGAUUUGGAACAAACAUUCGCUCGGACUCGAAGAUGAACUGAUUAGAUUCUGAUGGUGAGAGGUAAAAGGUCACUGUGACCUCACAAACACACAUUUGUGGUCAUUACUCAUUAUGACAAAAUUAUUAGCGCAGAUGUCCAAACUGAUAAAAUGACAAAGACAUUUCCUAUCAGAGAGGUCAGAGGUGAGCUUCACUAUGACAUUUAUAUUCUUUAUGAUAUAUUCUGUUAGUUAUUCAACACUGUAGCUCAUGAACAGCAACCUUACGAGUGCACGGAGGGAUACAACCCCCAUGCAGUUGAUGGCGGCAACUU
rnacentral:lncRNA from 1 species